UACAGCUUCAAUUAUACAAUGUAACACAAAGAUGGUCAACAUAAUACGGCAUGUCAUAAUAAAAAAUGUACGUAAGUAGUAAACACUAGAGUCGUGAUGAGAGAAUCUACAUUACACUUGCUACAAUGAAGAAGAUUCACGUUUUCGGAAUGUAAAUUUAUUAUAAGUCUCAGGUUCAAAUAUUUCUGUAGAAUUUUCCGUAUUUCACGUUAUUAUUCAGAUGGUGGACAUGUUUUAUGUUGGCAUAAAUCUCACAAUUUGCAUAGAUUUAAACCAAGGAUUAGUUUUAUCUGAAUUCAUCAAGACAUGUGUCAUGUGUUAUGAAUUGUUUCUUUCACUAAAAUGAAAGAAAUCUUCUUUAGUUACAUAAGGAUAAGUUCAUUGUUUAACAAUUAAAAUUUGACAAUAAUGUAAUUUCUUUACUAAUUGUUUUAUACAGAUUGGUACAAAAGACGAGCAUACAAAUAUGUUGUUGAUACAUCAAUGGAUCCACUAGUAUAGAAUUCACAGUCGUAUCCACACCAUUAAAAUAUGGUGUAGAUACAUUCAAGAGAUUUCAAGAGAUGCUUUCCACAAGCUUUCAAGAGAUUCUCACUCGAUUCGAGUGAGCAUCACUUGAAAGCUUGUGGAGUUAAUGGUCUUCGGCAUAAAUUCUUACGUCCAUUGCUGUUGUUUUCAUAAAAGAAAUGCUUCACAAGAAAUAAGGUUCUGGCCAUCGUAACUGAUAAAAAUGGCAUUCAUAACAAUUGUCGUCAGUUUUAUACACAGAACUUGGUUGAAACACGUGUGCUUAUGCAAAACAAAACUGCUUCUUCGUUGCUUGCAGCGCCAAAACUCCACACUGGACAGAUCGCAGGUGAUUAAUGACGUUACAGGUUGAUAGGCCAGUCUAUGAGCUGUUAUGGGUCAUGAGUCUGGAAAUUAUAUCUGUCCUACAAUUGUAUAUAUCCAACAAUCUUCGAGAAAGUGAGUCCUUGCCCCAAGGUUCUUCGAAUAAUUUUAAUAAAUUAACAGAUAAGUAUAUCAUAAUACCUUCUCACGUAUAAUUAACCUUAAAUCUUAAGGUAUACUGUUACAAUUAGUAAACUUAUGCAGGUAUUAUUUUUAUAACAGCAUUAGAUAGCAUUAGAACACCUUAAAUUAGUAUUUUCCUAAAACCUCGCUUUACGACCGCUCGAGUUAUAACAGCGAGAUUGUAAACAAAUCGUUUAAAACCCCGCUUUUACGACUGUAUUCUUUGAUCACGUAUAUUCCAUAUUUAUUUAAUGUAUUUUUCUUUCGAUCAUUUCUGUGUGAUGUUAUAUAAUGAAAGCUGUUGUUUUCAGGAACGUAAUUCUUAUUUAUAACCUCGAAUAUAAGGUAAUUUAACGGCUCGCUUUACGACGAUCCUCUAAAAACUAAUUAGGAAGUUGAGUAAACUAAAUUAAAUACACAGGAAACUGGCUAACAGAGGAAGAGUAUGGCGAUCUACCAAAAAAUGACCCUUUAAAUGUUUACGUUUUUGGACUCAGAAGACCUCCAAACGUCUAGAAAUGCAAGAAAUUUGGACUUUAUUUCUGUAUUAUAUUAGUGUGUGCGUGUGUUGGAGGACACGACUUUUAAGCUUAAUAACUCCUUCCUCUUUAGUCGAAAAUUUCUGAAAUUCUGCACGAAGUUUUAUGUUUUAUCGGAAAAUAUUUAUAGAAAUUUUCAAGAAAAUCGUACCAUUGGUUCGUGAGAUAUAGCCCCAUCCUCUUAAUAUCUUCCGAACCAAUCUGAAGACAAAGAACUGAACUUUACUAUAAAGUUAAAUAUCUGUACAAUUAAACAAAAUUUAUAAUGAAUAGUUUAUUAUUUUAUUUAAAAAAUAAACUCU